rnacentral:rRNA from 1 species
GAUUAACGCUGGCGGCGUGCAUAACACAUGCAAGUCGAACGAUGAAACUUAACUGAUUUCUUCGGAAUGAUUUUCAGUGGAUUAGUGGCGGACGGGUGAGUAACGCGUGAGUAACCUGCCUUGGAGAAGGGGAUAGCCUUUGGAAACGAAGAAUAAUACCCUAUGAUAUGAUAAUAUCUCAUGAUAUUAUCAUCAAAGAUUUAUCGCUCUAAGAUGGACUUGCGUCUGAUUAGUUAGUUGGCGAGGUAACAGCUCACUAAGGCAGCGAUCAGUAGCCGGCUUGAGAGAGGGUACGGCGGGAUUGGGACUGAGACAAGACCCCGACUCCCGCGGGAGGCAGCAGUGGGGAAUUUUGCACAAUGGGGGAAACGCAGAUGCGCCGACGCCGCGUGAUUGGGAAGGCCUUCGGGUUGUGAAAAUCUUUUGUAUGGGAAGAAAGUGACAGUACCAUACAAAUAAGGACCGGCUAAGUACGUG